rnacentral:sRNA from 1 species
CGUUUACCUGUCACAGAGUAGAGAGGGGAUGAGUAAUAAUGGGAGAAAUAUAUGUGUGCGUUCAUGGAGCUUACAACCGUGAACUGGGACAUCAACCACCGGUAGAGAAAAAGCCAGCUCUUCGCUGAGGGAUUCAAGGGAAGGAAAAGGUUCCCACAGAGUUGGCCUUCACCAACAAGAAAGGCUUUCCUUCUCUGGGUGGUGGCCUCUCGCCAUCCAAGAUGGCGACUCACAGUCAAUGUGGAGGGCAGCCAGCCAGGCUCAGCGUUUGCUGAGGCUCCAGUCUUCAUGGAUUCCAUAUCAAACUGAGGUUCCUUCUCUGUGGACGCACAAGGUCUCACCAAAACAGCCAGAACAGGAAGGACUGUGUUCUUUGUCUCCAGCAAGCUAAGGAUUCAGGCAAGGAACCCUACGGAAGAUGCCCUAUAUUGGAAAGUCCCUUAAAACCGAGCAGGAUGGUGGCAGGCUCGCAUUCAGAAGGAAACUUGCCUCUGCUGCUGAAAAUGAAAGCGGGAUUUAUCAGCCACACUCCUUUAAAACAACCACCACCUUAGCGACAUGGGGGCCAGCCGCAUCCAGGAAACGCCGCCCGAAACCAGCAAUUGUGCUUUAAGCUCUCUGCAUUUUCAAACACAUGGAUAGUUGGUGUAAAAAUAUAUUCUUUUCCUGCAGGGACGUGACUGUAAUUAGUGUGUGCCAAAACUCUCUCUCUCUCUCUCUCUCUCUCUCUCUCUCUCUCUCUCUCUCUCUCUCUCUCUCCCUCUCCCUGAGAUUUCAUUGUCUUAUCUCCUUACAGCAUCUUAAUGCGAUUUUAUUUUACUUUGUCAAAGUCCUAUUAGCAUAAAUGUGUUCUCCAUAGCAAACAGUGUUCUUUUUUAUGCAAAACAGGAUUCAGCUGACUCGAAUAAAGCAGCUUGCAGUCUA